rnacentral:lncRNA from 1 species
CUAUUUCUUUGGUAUCUUGUAUCUUGGUUGUGGGGGGUGGAAAUUGCUAGCUAAAAAAUGGAAGAAAGAAAACAAAAUAAUCCUGUGUUCAGUACUUAUAACUUUAGUGGUGCAACAAAGCAACUUCCAAACACUGCUCCAGCAUCCCCACCUUCCCCGCAAGAGGCAAGGAACAGCUUCAAGUCUUCCUUUCUUGUUCACUCCUAUGACUCUGGAGGAGACAGCCCAACCAAGAGCCAUGGAAGGAUGUGGAGGAUGCGGAGGAUGCCCUGACUGCGCGGACCAGUAACGGCUGGGGCAACCCGAUUUCCC